CUUCUUGGCCACCAUCAUCACAGUGAACAUCUUUGGCCACAUAUGGCGAGUGAUUCAAAUUGCUGUGCGUUUGUAAUGCCAUUCUGGAUUCCAGCUCUAUUGGUUCCCCAAAUCCAAAUCUUACCAAAGGAUUUCAACUCUACCGGUUCUUCCAAAAUUUAAAUUGUACCAAAUUUAGUUCCACUUAGUACACAUAAAGCGCCAACUGCUGCUGGAAAUGAACUUUCAGUUUGGACAAUUUCCUUCCUUUGAUGCAUUGACGGCAAUUUUCCUUUUUUGCACAU